GACGAACCGUGCGAACGUUGUUCGGAAUCACUGGGCUUAAAGGGCGCAUAGGCGGUCCACCAAGUCAGGGGUGAAAUCUUUCAGCUUAACUGGAAAACAGCUUUUGAUACUGGUGGACUCGAGCGAGGUAGGGGCAGAUGGAACUCUGGGUGGAGCGGUGAAAUGUGUAGAUAUCCAGAGGAACGCCGGUGGCGAAAGCGAUCUGCUGGACCUCUUCUGACGCUGAGGCGCGAAAGCCAGGGGAGCAAACGGG
rnacentral:rRNA from 1 species